rnacentral:sRNA from 1 species
GCCAGGCGCAGUGGUGCACGCCUGUAAUCCCAGCCCCUCAGGAGGCUGAGGCAGGGGAAUCGUGAGUUCAAUGCCAGCCUCAGCAAAAGUGAGGCACUAAGCAACUCAGUGAGAUCUUGUCUCUA